UACAGAGGUCCCAAGCGUUGUUCGGAUUCACUGGGCGUAAAGGGUGCGUAGGUGGCAGGGUAAGUUUGAUGUGAAAUCUCCGGGCUUAACCCGGAAACUGCAUUGAAUACUAUCCUGCUCGAGGUUUGGAGGGGGGACUGGAAUUCUCGGUGUAGCAGUGAAAUGCGUAGAUAUCAAGUGGAACACCAGUGGCGAAGGCGAGUCUCUGGACAUUUCCUGACGCUGAGGCACGAAAGCCAGGGGAGCAAACGGG
rnacentral:rRNA from 1 species